UUCGCCCUUUUCCGGUUGAUCCUGCCGGAAGUUACUGCUAUCGGUGUUCGACUAAGCCAUGCGAGUCAAAUGUUCUUCGUGAACAUGGCGGACUGCUCAGUAACACGUGGAUAACCUGCCCUUAGGUUCGGCAUAACUCCGGGAAACUGGAGAUAAUUCUGAAUAGGUCAAAUAUGCUGGAAUGCUUUUUGGCCAAAAGACUUCGGUUGCCUAAGGAUGGAUCUGCGGUCUAUCAGGUUGUAGUGGGUGUAACGUACCUACUAGCCUACGACGGAUAUGGGUUGUGAGAGCAAGAGCCCAGAGAUGGAUUCUGAGACAUGAAUCCAGGCCCUACGGGGCGCAGCAGGCGCGAAAACUUUACAAUGCGGGAAACCGCGAUAAGGGGACACCGAGUGCCAGCAUUUAUGUUGGCUGUCCACAUGUGUAAACGGCAUGUGUUAGCAAGGGCCGGGCAAGACCGGUGCCAGCCGCCGCGGUAACACCGGCGGCCCGAGUGGUAAUCACUUUUAUUGGGUCUAAAGGGUCCGUAGCCGGUUUGAUCAGUUCUUCGGGAAAUCUGACAGCUCAACUGUUAGGCUUCCGGGGAAUACUGUCAGACUUGGGACCGGGAGAGGGAAGAGGUACUACAGGGGUAGGAGUGAAAUCUUGUAAUCCCUGUGGGACCACCAG
rnacentral:rRNA from 1 species